CGUGCACAUACAUGAAAAAUUCUGUACACCGCUGAGGAGAAGACACAUAAACUGAUCAAAAGGCUGACUGCCUUCUGGGUAUCUACCGUGCCGAAAAAUGUGGAACCUGGACUAUCUUUCAAUCUCGGGACCAUCGGUGUGAUGCUCAGAUAGCAAAAGAAGAAUAGAAACUCCUUUCGUCAUCAAACAUCAGAUAACGAAUUAAUUGGAUGCCUGUUGUAAAGAAAUGAGCAACUUGCAAGCCCUGCAGAGCAUAUAAUUAAUGACUAUCCAGAAAAUCCACGGAUCUUAAAUUUGCUUCAGAUUUCCAUCAACUAUUGUAUUCAGCAUAUCUGGAGAAUUUACUGAAGCAGGAAGAUCUUAAUCACAGAAGAAACAAGACCAGAAGGAAAACAGCAAAUCAAACAUCGAUUAUGGAGUAACUUUUGUUGGCCGUAACUCCAUCGACGAACAAGAAAAGAUAUUUACGGCCCAGAUCCCCAAUAAGAUUCUAAAUAUGUGAUUGAGAAAAGCCGUACUUACAGAAUAGCCUGAAAUUGGCCAAGAGGAGGAUUAACAGGACACAUUAAAACUAAGUACUUACAUUAACGGCUGUUUGUAUCCUGCUAGGGAAUUGUUAUUAUGGACACAUUUAUCGGAAGAGGAGGAAGCAAAUCUGAAAAACUGAAUCUAGAAGAUGAAUAAAGUACACUUAAGCAUUCUGAAGACAACUGAGGGGUCCCACCAAGCAGCAGAAUGAGAAAUUUUAAGAUGACUACAGAAAUGCAGCAAGAAGAGAAUUUCUCAAAAUACUGUCACAAAAAUGCAUUGUAUGUAUACAUUUCUGAAUUAACUCAGAUAAG